rnacentral:lncRNA from 1 species
ACUGGAAAUAUUUCAUUAAUAACUCCCAUUUCAUUUCCAUUAGUAGCUUCAUUCAUAAUAUCCAAAAUAUUACAAGUUUAUAGAUAUAAUGAAAAACAUGUUUGCCAAAUAGCAACAUUUCUAGUUCAAUUCCCAACAUCAUAUACCACCCACAACCUGUCCACGGAGCCUCUAAUUAAGACAAAAGAAUAGUAUGGAAGUGUCAGCAACAAGGCCCCGGCUAUACCUCAAGACACAAAGUGUAACAUCAAGUGACAUCGAGCCAGGAAUAGAGUAGGGCUCACCAAAACCUGCCGAAUAGGGAGUAACUGCUAACGAGGACCAAAGCUGCCCGCUGCUGAAUCACCUGCAUCCAUUGAAGAUGCAGCGCCCCCCGCAGAAGGGACGUUAGUACAUAUGGAAUAGUACUGGCAUGUAAAGCUAACUAUCUUCUUUCAAAAAAGAAUGCCAAUGUAUGAAAGGGAAACCCAUAGAAACAACAAUCAACAAUCACUGAUAUUCAAAUGUCAAGUUAAAAUAUAAUAAUUUCCAAAAUACGAAGAUAACACUGUAAAGUGAUAAUCAAAAUAUGAUGAUAAUAUUAUUUUUGGUUUGGAGAUCUUUAUCACAAAUAUACCACUAUUCACAAUAUCACCAUUCACAAUACCAAUAUUCACAAUACCAAUAUUCACAAUACCAAUAUUCACCAUUCCAAUGCCAUCGUACUUUUAGCACGGAGUCCGAUCACGACCCGAUCAGCUAGGCCAUCUCAUUAGAGACAUCAACCACAAUCACUCUCAAUACCAAUACUACCGUACUUUUAGAACGGAGUCCGAUCACGACCUGAUCAGCUAGGCCAUCUCAUUAGAGACAUCAACCACAAUCAAAAUUUUAAAUUACAAUUUUCGGCACUAUCACAAUCUAUGUGCAAAUAUACCACCGUGAAUCUAGCACGGAUUCCGAUCACGACCCGAUCGGCUAGGCUAUCUUAUUUGAAGAAAUCAACCAAAAUCACAAUUUCAAUCAUAAUUUUCAGCACAAUUACCACCAUGUGUGCGACAUGGUGCCGAUCACAACCCGAUCGGCUAGGAUGUCUCACCACAAUGCCGUGUGGAUCGACAGCACCCUUUUCUAUCAAUCAAUCUCAUCCAAAUUAAGGGGAAUAAUUUUAUCACAUCAACAUCAUCCCAAAUAAGGGGAAUAAUUCACAAAAAUAACACAGGCACAAAUGUAUUUACCUUAUCAUCUUUCACAUUGUAUGAAUCUCCACUAGUAUUUUCAACCAUAACAACAACAAUAUUUCCUUGGCUCUUUUGGCCGUUCACAAUAUUCUUUAUUCAAGGCACGGUGGCCGUAUUGUAUAUUCCACGCUUUCAUUUAUUCCCUCUCAUGUAUCAUCAUCAUAAAUAUCAACAUAUAUACUAUUCCGGAAAUCAUAACUUUAAGUUCAUUAGAAAUGAAGGCUUUAAACACAAUGUAUUUCUUUCCAAGAAAUGGUGUAAAAUUAUUGGCAAUUGAAGCGCAAGUUAAAAUCAUAAACAAGUAAAACAUAAUUUAUUCUUGAAAAACUUUUCCCCAAAAAAGGCAAUACACAAUUUCAACUCACGAAUAUAUAAGAACGCAAAACACAUUGAAAAUACUCACAAAGCACAACAUUAGCUAAAACAGCCACACAUGGGCAUCACUUGAGUUCAUAAGCUUUUAGGCAAAUUCUAUUUUCAAAGUCAAUUUUAGAAUAGUUAAAUCAAGGAUCAUUUCAUAACCUUUCUCACAUCAUUUAAUUUCAUUGGCACCAUUGGCCACAAGUAUAAUUUUCACUGUUGGCGCGUUGGCCACACUUUAUAUCCCCAAGUCACUUAUUUCACUUACAAUCAUCUUUAUAGAUUAUUAACCAUAAGACAUUUCCGAUCAAGACUUUAGGUACACAUAUGAGCAAUUAAGAGUCUUAAGCAUAUUGAGACUUUCUCACACAAUUUGGCAUCAUAACCUUCAUUUGAAACACGACUCAAAGACAUAUCAUUUCAAUACACAUAUCAUUCUUAAACACAUUCCUAAAAGAUAACAUAAUGUGAUAGGAACAUUCGGAACAUGUUUUGAAAACAUAAUUCUCGGCAUUUUGCUUAUUCGGAAUUCAUAUUGAACAUAUAUCUUUCAACACUAACUUAUUUGUAAUAGCCAAUUUUUUAUAAUGAACAACUCGGGACUUACAUAAAUUUUAUGAACACUGUGGGAUUCAAUUCUAAGAGAGAAGUUUAGCCAAGAUACCUUUUCUUGAGCUUUCCUUACAUUACUACGACGUUCUGGAAAUUCUAGCAACUUCAAUCUAUUUGGAAACAUAAUAAAAGUAAACCAUAAUUAGGAAGAUAUUCGUGGUUUCAUCUCAUUUGAGCAUUUUAUCAAACACUAGAUGUGCAAAUUGGUUACAAGUUUCUUCCACAAGAUUUCUUUCACUUAACAACCCAAUCCUUACCCAUUUAGGCUCAACAAUCUUCCCAGAAACCUUAUUGGUACAUGCAUGUAUAAAUAAUACUCUUACACCCAAGAAUCAUACUCUUAAUCAACCAUCUUCUACCAAAAUUCAAAAUUGAAAACUAGGGUAUGGAACCUUACCCCUUAGAUGAAGAACUUGAGAGAUUUCUUGUUGGAUUUCAAGGCUUGAGCAAGAUUUGAUGAACAAGGGCUUGGGAAUUCCUCCUCUCACUCUAGGGGACUUUCCCCUCACUAAAAAUAUCAGAUUAUCCCUCCAAAAUAGCGCUAAGAUCGUUUUAUAGGAACUAGGGUCGGGAUAUUAAAUUACAAAAAUGGACCCUCAAAAAUCUGGAUCGGGCUACAGACCAGGUUUGGCACGGUCUAUAGCGAGCUACAGACCAGGCUCCGGGAGCUCUGCCGCGAGCUACAGACACAUGCUUCGCGAAGGAUAUAUCACGGUCUAGCGCGCUACAGACCUGGCUUCGCGAGGGUUAUAGCAUGGUCUAGCACGCUACAGACCUGGAUUCGCGAGGGUUAUAGCACCGUCACAUUCUUCCAGCCUUUCGGAAUUUGAAUAGAAGUUCUUGUAGGAGCGUCCAAAUGACAAACGUUUUGAAGCGUUAGAAACUAGACUCAAAGGGCUGUAAUUUGAUAGGUAUAUCACCUCCUAAGUCGUUAUAGUUUGGUAGCAGCAUGCGUUUGAAGUAGUAUCUUGUACGAAUUGAGACAUCCUUUCCACUUAAGGUAUCCAACUUGUUCCACAUGAAUUCUUGCCAUUCACAAAAUUCCGUAGUAUGUUUCAACACACCUUAAACAUAUAUUUUUCAUUUCAAAAUAAUGUGGUUAUAUCCCAUGGGUCUCCUUUAAUACUCGAACACGUUAUUCCCAAAUACCGUUGGCGCACUUUAAAAUCUUAAAUCAUUAGGAAAUUUUUAACGGGGCCUUAUAGUAAGGCAGAUUUCACAGCUGUAAUCCUAGCUUGAAAAUAAGGAUCAUUAGCAGCCAGCUUUUCCCCCCUCAGAAAACUGAGAAUUUUGUUGCACUGAUGUAGAUUUAGAACCUGCAAAUUCAGCACUUGGUUGUUCAUGCAUAAUUCCUCGAUCAUUACCAAUUUGAAUACCAGAUUCCCCAGCGAUCUGUUGUACCACAUAACGCUUGGUUGAUGUAACAGCUUGAUCAGCAGCAGUUGUUAAAGCACCAGCAGUAGCUUUAUACAUCCUCGCAAAAACAGUGGAGGCUGGGAUAUCCUUCAAUCACUUAUCAUCUCUAAUUGCAUUUUUCUUGACUUGCUCAACACCUACACCCCUAUACUGUCUCCCGGCAUCACCUAGAACUUGAGCAACCUUCAAACUCCUCUACACAUCUUUUUCUCCAGUUUUUUGGAUCUGCAUAUCCACACCACAGUCAUCAGUUGCUUCUUUGUAUUCUACCAAAGUCCCAUCAUUUGUAUGACCCUCAUGAGGCAUGUUUAAGGCCUAAAGCCGCAUAACACCGUCAUCCCCAAUCACAACUUCCUUGGAACUACCCCGCUACACCGUGUCUCUUAACACCAACAAGUGAGGAUCAUCAAACUAGUAAGCCUUGAUACGAUCCAACAAUGAUGAGUGUGCCACAACACAAGUGAUGACCCGACUAGGCUGCGAAACAUCCAAUCUCAAAUACAAGAACAUCAUGUGAUUCAAUUCUAGGAGAGAAGUUUAGCCAACAUACCUUGCUUUGAGCUUUCCUUAAAUUACUACAGUGUUCUAAAAAUCCUAGCAAUCCCAAUCUAUUUUGAGAAAUAACAAAAUUGAACACAAAUUAGGAAAAUAUAAAUGGUUUCAGCUCAUUUGAGCAUUUUAUCAAAAACUAGGUGUGCAAAUUUGACUACAAGGUUCUUCUACAAGAUUUCCUUCAUUCCACAAUCCAGUAUUUACUUAUUUGAGCUCAAAAAUCUUCUGACAAACCUUGUUGGUACAAGCAUGUAUAAAUAAAAAUCUUACACCCAAGAAUCAUACUCUCAAUCAACCAUCUUCUACCCAAAUUAAAAAUUGAAAACUAGAGUAUGGAACCUUACCUCUUAGAUGAAGAACUUGUGAGGUUUCUUGUUGAUUUUCAAGGCUUGAGCAAGAUUUUGAUGAACAACUAGCUUAGGGAAUUCNNNNNNNNNNNNNNNNNNNNNNNNNNNNNNNNNNNNNNNNNNNNNNNNNNNNNNNNNNNNNNNNNNNNNNNNNNNNNNNNNNNNNNNNNNNNNNNNNNNNNNNNNNNNNNNNNNNNNNNNNNNNNNNNNNNNNNNNNNNNNNNNNNNNNNNNNNNNNNNNNNNNNNNNNNNNNNNNNNNNNNNNNNNNNNNNNNNNNNNNNNNNNNNNNNNNNNNNNNNNNNNNNNNNNNNNNNNNNNNNNNNNNNNNNNNNNNNNNNNNNNNNNNNNNNNNNNNNNNNNNNNNNNNNNNNNNNNNNNNNNNNNNNNNNNNNNNNNNNNNNNNNNNNNNNNNNNNNNNNNNNNNNNNNNNNNNNNNNNNNNNUCCUCUCCCUAAAAAUAUCAGAUAUUUCCUUAAAAAAAUGGUUCCUUAUGUCUAUUUAUCGAGAUAGGGUUUGGUUAUAAGGAUAGAAAAAUGGACCCUCCAAAAUACGAACCGGGAGACAGACCAGGCUUUGUAAGCUCUAUAGCACGGUCUAGCGUGCUACAGACCUUGCUCUGCGAGCUCUAUAGCAUGGUCUAGCGCGCUACAGACCUUGCGCCGUGAGCUCUAUAUCAUUUUCUAGCGUGCUACAGCCCUGGCUUCGCGGGGUGUAUAACACGGUCUAGCGUGCUAUAGACCUGGCUUUGCGAGGUCGAAAUGAUUCAACUCCCCAACAUACUGUUCAACCUAAACAGUCCGAAAAUACAAUAAAUUAGCCUACCUUGGCACCACGGAACCUUAAAUUCCUUAGCGAAAGUUUCUGAGGCCUUACAUUUUUCUUCUUUCGAAUGCGGAUCUCCCUGGAAAACUAAUCUUAACUAAUUUUUGUCCCAUUUCACGCCCGAAACCUAGGGAGAUGCGACUGGCACCUGGUGCCUAACAUGAUUGAACAUAUAACCUGUAAAUCACGUACCAUAUUGUUUCCAUAAAUAACUAGGCGGACAAGGUCGUAACAUAUGACAUCAACCCAUAACCAAUCCAUGGUAUGCAUAUAAGGGACGACAAGUCCACCAUGAGUAUCAUUACAUUGAUAUAUAAAAAACUUCAAAAAGCUCAUCUACACGGGCCUAUAAAUCCACCAUAUAAAAUAGUAUAACUGACCGCAUGUAUAUCUGUAUCUGCAAAAGCCUCUAAGAGUAUCAGACAAAAGUAACGUGGUUGGUACUGGGCCUCGGCCUACCCGUAAAGUCUUUAUACAUAAACAAAACAAAAUAUGUAUAGACUCGGAUGCACUCCAGUUGAUAUGGUGUCUUAAUGAUCAAUUGCUGAACUUUGAAAUUUGUUACUCCGAGGUUCAUCUAUCAUCUAAAACUGUAGCAUAAAAUACAGCAUCCCUAGCAAAGGGAUAUCAGUACAAAAGAAUGUACUAAAUAAAUAAGGAAACAUGAUACGCAAAUGUAAGUAGAACACACAAAUGAAGGAAUGUUGAAGGAAACAACUGAACUUACAUCUCAAGUUACAAGGCAACCUGCAAGGCAUAUACUAUAUUCUUACCAACCUGGAUAUGUCUCGACGUCCAUAAUCUCGUUAUGUUGGGCCCUUGGGAGUAAUACCCAAACCAACAAAUAAUCUAAAUCAAUAGUGUGCAUGUUGAUUAAUCACAUAACAACUAUUUUGCUAUUUCACAAUAGGAUAUCGUACAUAUUUGCUAGAUACUAGAUAAGUGAAUCUGUACUUUCUCGACUAUCAAGCCAAUAUCUCCCGGUCUAGCGAGUCGGUAACUACCAGGUUAUCAAACAUGUAUCUUCUAGUCUAGCACACAUGUAACUAUCAGGCAUUGGACAUGUUCGCAAUGUCUAUCAUAACAUACAACAAAUACAAAGCACAUAAAGUUCUCAUGUCAACUCUAGCGAACAUUCGUCGAGUUACGAAAGACUUUCUGAGUGUGUCGAUAUGACUUAUAUACACUUUUUAGGAUAAUAAAAAGGUUAAAAAUAAUCAUAAAAAACUCAUCUUAUCGAGGCAGUACCAAACAGAAUGUUCAUGGAAUCAUCGGACACGCGAAUAAAGCAUCUAUGAGGUUCUACUUCUUGGAAGCACACUUGGAAGGAAAGUUGUUUGGAAUUCAUGCUAAAGAAACAAAGGAAUAGACUUAACAUACCUCAUUCCUAAUAGUUGUAAUACUACGACGAUCAAGUCUCUCCUUUAAAAUUUUGAUGUAUAAUAUUCACAAUAAAAGAAACCUCAUGUUAGCAACCAAACACUAUUAAAGACAUUAAGACAAUUCGUCGAACAUUUGGUGGGCGUAUGGUUUUAAGGCCCUUUCAUAAUGGUGUUUCACCACACCCUUCGUUCUUUCUAACUUAAAAAAACACAAAAACCUCCUUAUGAGGUUACAAAAACAAUCCACAAACCACAACAUACAAAAUUUCCCCUUCCAUAUCACAUAUGAAUCACAAAGCUUGGACUCACGGCUUCCGAUCACCGUCCCGUGAGUUCUUAUCGAAAAACACCUUACAAUACUUAUUUGAAUCCAUAUAUAUAUGUUAGAAGAAUCUUAUUACCUCGGUUUCUUUUUCCCUGAUAAUUCAUCACUUGAACGUUUCUGAAAGAAAACCAAGAUGGACUGAGUGUAAGAUUCAUGUUCUUGAGGAAGCAUUUUACUAGUAAAAUAUUUGGAUCACUUACUUUGACCUUGGAGAGUGAGAGGAGGAGAGAAAAUGGAGAAAAUUAUUUACGAUGAGGUCUUCAACGAAAACCGAUAGUGAAAUCUUGAAGUUUUAGCUGGAAAACAACAAGCUUUGGCCGACUUAACAUUGGGUGCCACAUGUUCCACAAUAAUUGGGCGCUACGCACAUUUGUAGUAAAACGGGCAUCUCAUUUUACUCCAAUGUUUUAUCGAUGAAUUGUUUGCGGCAUUCGAAACUAAAAUCAAAGAAAUUCAAUUUUGUGUGUGGAUCACCCUGCAACUCAGAGUAUAUUGGGAGAAAAUCUCAUUGACAUCAGGCCCAAAUUUCAGUAAACUUAUGAACAUAACUUGCGAUAACUGUU